CUUGAGUCUACCCUAUAUUUAAAGCUCUUUCUUUCUUCUUGCUCUGGUUUUAGUUUCACCUUCUUUCUCAAGUUUAAGGUAAAAGAUUACAUGAAGCUGAAGAAAGAGAAGAAAGUCAUGAGAGGGGAACCUACAAUGGGAGAGGAACAUAUGGAUCAAAGCACAAUCUUCCAACUCAUUUGACUCCAAAAAAAGAAGAAAGAAAAAUCCCAAAGAGAAACAUUUUAUCCACAAGGAACACCAAGAAAAAUGCAGCUUAACAAAGAAGUGACAAAUCCCUUUGGUCCUCUAACGAGUGUCUUCAACAAAACAAAUAAAGCAAACAGUCAAAGCGGAGCUUGACCCAAGUUAUAAUGACUACCUGGAGAGCUGUUUUGUUUUACAUAUCCCAAUUCAAUUUCACAUUAUUCCAAGGCACAUAACAGACUUGGAUACAAUCAUGAAACGUUCACACCUGAAAAAUAAUCUCUGUAGAACUUGUUUUCAAUGAUUUUCAGGUCAGAGACCCCUUUGAAAAUCUGCAAAACUAUGGAAGUUUAUUUCAGAAAACAAAACAAAAAAAAAAAAAAAAAACCUUAACAUUUUAGGGAUUUCAGGUUCUAAAGAAGAUUUUUAUAGCAAAUGUCACAGGCGUUUGAAUGACAGUAACUCCAUUUUGAAUAGGGGCUGGAUAAAACGAGGCUAAGAUCUGCUGGGUUGCAUUCCCAGGAAGUUAGGCAUUCUUAGCCACAGUAUGAGAUAGGAGGUUGGCACAAGAUACAGGUCGCAAAGACCGUGCUGAUAAAACAGGAUGUGAUAAAGAAGCCAGCCAAAAUCAAGAUGGCGAAGAAAGUAACCUCUGGUUGUCCUUGUCAGGCCUCUGAGCCUAAGCUAAGUCAUCAUAUCCCCUGUGACCUGCACGUACACAUCCAGAUGGCCCGUUUCUGCCUUAACUGGUGACAUUCCACCACAAAAGAAGUGAAAAUGCCCUGUUCCUGCCUUAAUUGAUGACGUUGUCUUGUGAAAUUCCUUCUCCUGGCUCAUCCUGGCUCAAAAGCUCCCCUACUGAGCACCUUGUGACUCCCACUCCUGCCCACCAGAGAACAACCCCUCUUUGACUGUAAUUUUCCUUUACCUACCCAAAUCUUAUAAAACGGCCCCACCCUUAUCUCCCUUUGCUGACUCUUUUUUCGGACUCGGCCCACCUGCACCCAGGUGAAAUAAACAGCCUUGUUGCUCACACAAAGCCUGUUUGGUGGUCUCUUCACACGGACUCGAGUGGAAGUCCUCACUGUUCUUUAUAUGCUAACUAUAAUGCAUUAGCAUGCUAAAAGACACUCCCAUCAGCGCCACUGCAGUUUACAGAUACUUUUGGCAAUGUCGGGAUAUUACCCUAUAUGGACUAAAUAGGGAAGAAGCUCCGGGUUCCAUGAACUCUCCACCCCCUUCCUGCAAAACUCAUGAAUAAUCCACCACUUAUUUAGCAUAUGACUAACAAGUAACCAUAAAAACAGCCAACCAGCAAUCCUUAGGGCUAUUCUGCCUGUACAUAGCCAUUCUUUUGUUUCUUUAUUUCUCACAUAAACUUGAUUUCACUUUCCUCUGUGGACUCCCCCGCCCUCUGCAAAUUCUUUCUUGCACAAGAUCCUAGAACCCUCUCUUAGAGUCUGGAUCAGGACCCCUUUCUGGUAACACAAACAAUAAAGAAAUUUGUUGUUCUCUAUGUUCUCAUAGCAGUGUUUUCUGUGUUUUUUUUAAUGGGUAAACAAAACACAAAGAUUUUUCACUGAGGUUACAGAUUAUUUAACAAUGAUGCCUAGGUUAUAUUUGUUGUCAUUGUUUUGUAAAUCUAGGCCAUCUUAUAGUCUCCCCAGAGAUUGCAUCAGCAAGCAUUCUACUCACUUGGUUCAUGUUUACUGUAUUUAAAUCCUGACUGUACCAUAAAUUAGAAAAGAAAAGAGAAUAUUAAAAAUUAGAUCUAAAUUAAUUCCCAC
rnacentral:lncRNA from 10 species